UAAAUUAAGGGCUUAAUCAUGGCCCCGAACGAAUGCUAUCUGGUUGUUUGACACAUGCAAGUCUUCAGUUAUUUAUAUAACUGGGGCGUACGGGCGAGUAUAAUUAGGAAGCUACCUUUAGGAUAAAUUGUAUUUACCUAUUGAUCCUCUUAAUUAACAGCAGCUAGUUGGUGAGGUAAUGGCUUACCAAGGCUAUGACGUGGAGGUGAAGGAUGAAAGUCUCAACACCCGCAGUGGAGAAUGAAAAGUCCCACACUCUAAUUUUAGGGGCAGCAGUGAAGAAUCAUCGUCAAUGAUCGAAAGAUUGAACGUGCAAACCACAAUCUAAUGCCUGAUUAUGUCAGGUCUGAGUUUCGGCUCUAUAGAUAUAGUAAAGCAGGAUAAUGACCAGUUUUACUAAUAGUCGCGAGCAACCCCGGUGCCAGCAGUUGCGGUUACACCGGUGCGGCAAGCAUUGUUCGUUGUGAAUAGGCGUAAAGGGUACGUAGGUUGCAUUUUUUCCUUGGAGAAAAGCUAGAAUCCAAUAGGAGUGACCAGUAUUUCGAGAGUAGUGCUGAUAUACUUUGAUACUCCAAGGACUACCAAUAGCGGAAGCAGGUCACUAGGUAGAGAUUGACACUAAGGUACGAAAGCGUAGGGAGCAAACAGAAUUAGAUACUCUGGUAGUCUACGCCCUAAACGAUGAGUGCUAGAGCUCUUCUUAAAAUAGGAGGACUCUUAGCAAACGCAAUAAGCACUCCGCCUGGGAAGUACAGUCACACGACAGAACACCAAAUGAUUAGACGGUCCCGAGAACCCGCAGUGAAGCAUGACCCUUAAUGCGAUGACCCGCGCAUAACCUUACCUACACUUGAAUCCUGAUUUUAGUCAGUGACAGGUGCUACAUGACCCUCUUCAGCAUGUGCUGUCAAGUCCUUGGUUAAAUCCGCUAACAUGCGGAAUCCUUACUACUAAUUAUAUACUUAGUAGUUUAUAGUUGAUAUAACUAUAGAGUAGGGCUAAGAGAGGUCCCCAUGACCCUUAUGUGUAGGGCUGCCGUUGUGCUGCGAAGGGUUCAACAAUAUGAUGCAACGCCGUGAGGCUGAGCUAAUCACCAAAUGAACCCACACGGAUUGUAGCCUGCAAUCGGCUACAUGAAAUAGGUAUUGCGAGUAAUCGUGUAGUAGUGCGAAACGGUGAAAAUACCACUCGGGAUGUACUAAUUACUCGUCACAACUGGAAAGAAAAUAGAUGGCGAAACCUGGCUAAAUUUAUUUAGAUACUUGUGAAAAUAUUAGCUGAAUCCUCAGUUAACAUACUUAAGUAGUCAUAGUAGACAAGGCUUUGUGACCUAUCUACUUCGAUUUGGAUGAAGUCGAAAUAUAGGAGUGGUACGGGAACGUGCUGCUGAAAAAUAUAACAA
rnacentral:rRNA from 1 species